CAGAUACUCCCUCCGUCCAGAAAUACUUGUCAUCAAAAUGGAUAAAAGGGGAUGUAUCUAGACGUAUUUUAGUUCUAGAUACAUCUCUUUUUAUCCAUUUUGAUGACAAGUAUUUUCGGACGGAGGGAGUAGAUA
rnacentral:pre_miRNA from 1 species